ACUAUUGUAGCUCAGUGGUAGAGAGCAUCUGCUUUGCAUACAGAAGGUCCCAGGUUCACUCCCCAAUAGCA